CAGGCCUAACACAUGCAAGUCGAGCGGAAACGGGAAUAUUCUUGCUUCUUUGGAUUUACUGGACGUCCAGCUGCGUACCGCUUGGUAAUCUCCCCAUUUCUGCGGGAUAACUUGGGAAAACUCUUGCUAAUACCGCAUAAUCCCUACGGGUGACAGCAGGCGAUCUUCUGACGAUGCACAGAGGGAUCAACCCGCAACCUAUUACCUAGGUAGGAGGCCAAUUGCCUAUAACUGCUAGGAUCCGUAACGGGUCAGAAAGGAUGACAUCCCACAUCGGGACUGAAAGAUGAUCCGCCCUCCUGCGGCAGGCACACGUGGGGAACUCCGAACAAUGGCGGCAACCCUGAUCCUUCCAUGCCGCGUGUGACCCUGAUGCCCUAGGGUUGCGUGUGCUUUCAAUAGGGAGGAAGGCUUCGGGUUUUACCCUGGAGUACUUGACGUUACCUACUAAAUAAGCACCGGCUAAUUUCCUGCCAGCAGCCGCGGUAAUAACUCGGUGCCAGCGUUAAUCGUAAAUUACUGGGUGUAAAGCGCGCGUAGGAAUUACUGGAAGUCGGAUGUGAAAGCCCAGUUUGUUACCUUGAAACUGCAUCCGAUACUGGCUAGCUAGAACCGCAUUUGGGAUGUGGAAUUUCCGGUGUGUAGAUGA
rnacentral:rRNA from 1 species